rnacentral:rRNA from 1 species
UACGUAGGGUGCGAGCGUUGUCCGGAAUUAUUGGGCGUAAAGAGCUCGUAGGCGGUCUGUCGCGUCGGCUGUGAAAACCCGGAGCUCAACUCCGGGCCUGCAGUCGAUACGGGCAGACUGGAGUUCGGCAGGGGAGACUGGAAUUCCUGGUGUAGCGGUGAAAUGCGCAGAUAUCAGGAGGAACACCGGUGGCGAAGGCGGGUCUCUGGGCCGAUACUGACGCUGAGGAGCGAAAGCGUGGGGAGCGAACCGG